UCCCUACGGGGGGCUGCAGUGAGGAAUAUUGCGCAAUGGGCGAAAGCCUGACGCAGCGACGCCGCGUGUGGGAUGAAGGAGCUUUGCUUCGUAAACCACUGUCGGACGGGAAGAAAAAGUUCCUACGGGGGCUUGGGACAGUACCGUCAGAGGAAGCACCGGCUAACUACGUGCCAGCAGCCGCGGUAAUACGUAGGGUGCGAGCGUUGUCCGGAAUUACUGGGUGUAAAGGGUGCGUAGGCGGGCAUGUGCGUCGGAGGUUAAAUACAACGGCUUAACCGUUGAACUGCCUUCGAAACGGCAUGUCUUGAAUGUGGGAGAGGAUGAUGGAAUUCCUGGUGUGGCGGUGAAAUGCGUAGAUAUCAGGAGGAACACCGGUGGCGAAGGCGGUCAUCUGGCCCACUAUUGACGCUGAGGCACGAAAGCGUGGGGAGCAAACAGGAUUAGAUACCCGGGUAGUCA
rnacentral:rRNA from 1 species